rnacentral:rRNA from 1 species
CACGUAGGGUGCGAGCGUUGUCCGGAAUUAUUGGGCGUAAAGAGCUCGUAGGCGGUGUGUCGCGUCGGCCGUGAAAACCUGCAGCUUAACUGUGGGCUUGCGGUCGAUACGGGCAUCACUGGAGUUCGGCAGGGGAGACUGGAAUUCCUGGUGUAGCGGUGAAAUGCGCAGAUAGUCAGGAGGAACACCGGUGGCGAAGGCGGGUCUC